CGUACGUGCGGACACGUGUGCACCUGCCCUUUAUCUGGGGGGAUAGCNUUUCGAAAGGAGAUUAUUACCCCAUAUUAUGUUGANUGGCUCAUUCGACAUUGAAAACUCCGGUGGAUAGAGAUGGGGCACGCGCAAGAUUAGAUAGUUGGUGAGGUAACGGGCUCACCAAAGUCUACGAUCUUUAGGGGCCUGAGGGGGUGAUCCCCCAACACUGUACUGAAACCCGGGACCAAAACUCUUACGGGAGGCAGGCAGGUGAGGAUUAUUGGACCAAUGGGUGAGAGCCUGAUCCAGCCAUCCCGCGUGAAAGGACGACUGCCCUAUGGGUUGUAAACUUCUUUUGUAUAGGGAUAAACCUACCCCCGUGAGGGUAGCUGAAGGUACUAUACGAAUAAGCACCGGCUAACUCCGUGCCAGCAGCCGCGGUAAUACGGAGGGUGCAAGCGUUAUCCGGAUUUAUUGGGUUUAAAGGGUCCGUAGGCGGAUCUGUAAGUCAGUGGUGAAAUCUCACAGCUUAACUGUGAAACUGCCAUUGAUACUGCAGGUCUUGAGUGUUGUUGAAGUAGCUGGAAUAAGUAGUGUAGCGGUGAAAUGCAUAGA
rnacentral:rRNA from 1 species